AACGAACGCUGGCGGCAUGCUUAACACAUGCAAGUCGAACGGUAACGGGUCCUUCGGGACGCCGACGAGUGGCGCACGGGUGAGUAACGCGUGGAUACCUGUCUAGAGGUGGGGAAAAACAGUUGGAAACGACUGCUAAUACCGCAUAAUCCUUGAGAGGGAAAGGCUUCGGCCGCCUUAUGAGGGGUCCGCGUCGGAUUAGCUUGUUGGUGGGGUAACGGCCUACCAAGGCGAUGAUCCGUAGCUGGUCUGAGAAGAUGGCCAGCCACACUGGGACUGAGACACGGCCCAG
rnacentral:rRNA from 1 species